rnacentral:lncRNA from 1 species
UAUUACCAUCCCCAAACCAUUAUAUCUGAUCGCACAUACAAAAGGAAGAAGAAGAAUAUAAUCAAAUACAAAGAGAGAGAGUAGGAUAUAACCGUUCGCCCAUGGCCUUAGACUCGAUCGGACCAACCGAAGAUCCUAGCCGAUGGAUCGCCUGCUUACUCCACUGACCUUGGAUGUGUGCUCUUGUUGGUUGGAGUCCUUCUCUAAACCUGUAUCCUUGUCUUUUGUAUCCAUCUCUAAUCGUCCCUUAUUAUCUCAGACGAUCUCUCUCGCCAGGAAAAAUUCACCACCACAACCGGCCUUGUCUUGGUCGAAUAUCUCUCUCUCUCUUUAUUUCUCUCUUCUCUCGGUCUUUGCCUUUUGUUUCUUUAGAAACUGAUGAAUGAAAUCGACCAGAAGGUCCUCUAUUUAUAGAUAAUUGGGUCGGCCAACUGCCAUGGGCGAACAGGUGUGACUUGUUGGUCCAAUAAGUAUAACAUGUUCCAUAGUCCCAUUUCGCCACAACUGCUUCCUAAUGGGCUGGACCUGGGCCUAGACCCAUUACCAAAGCAUGUGGUUGGUCGCAUGGACCCCUCGGCCCAUUA